UGGGGAAUUUUGGACAAUGGGCGAAAGCCUGAUCCAGCCAUGCCGCGUGCAGGAUGAAGGCCUUCGGGCUGUAAACUGCUUUUGUACGGAACGAAAAGACUCCUUCUAAUAAAGGGGGUCCAUGACGGUACCGUAAGAAUAAGCACCGGCUAACUACGUGCCAGCAGCCGCGGUAAUACGUAGGGUGCGAGCGUUAAUCGGAAUUACUGGGCGUAAAGCGUGCGCAGGCGGUUAUAUAAGACAGUUGUGAAAUCCCCGGGCUCAACCUGGGAACUGCAUCUGCGACUGUAUAGCUAGAGUACGGUAGAGGGGGAUGGAAUUCCGCGUGUAGCAGUGAAAUGCGUAGAUAUGCGGAGGAACACCGAUGGCGAAGGCAAUCCCCUGGACCUGUACUGACGCUCAUGCACGAAAGCGUGGGGAGCAAACA
rnacentral:rRNA from 1 species